ACGGAGGGUCCGAGCGUUAUCCGGAUUUAUUGGGUUUAAAGGGUGCGUAGGCGGUUUUAUAAGUCAGCGGUGAAAUUCUCCGGCUCAACCGGGGGACUGCCGUUGAUACUGUAAGUCUAGGAUAUGGUUGAUGUGGGUGGAAUGUGUGGUGUAGCGGUGAAAUGCUUAGAUAUCGGGCGGAAUAUCGAUUGCGAAGGCAGCUUCCAGGCCCAUUAUUGACGCUGAUGUGCGAAAGUGUGGGGAUCGAACAG
rnacentral:rRNA from 1 species